rnacentral:rRNA from 1 species
GAUCCUGGCUCAGAUUGAACGCUGGCGGCAUGCUUUACACAUGCAAGUCGAACGGCAGCAUAGAGAGCUUGCUCUCUGAUGGCGAGUGGCGAACGGGUGAGUAAUACAUCGGAACGUGUCCGUUUGUGGGGGACAACCACCCGAAAGGGUGGCUAAUACCGCAUAAGACCUGAGGGUGAAAGCCGGGGACCGCAAGGCCUGGCGCGAACGGAGCGGCCGAUGACUGAUUAGCUGGUUGG